GGCGCGACCGUGUCUGGUGCCGCAGGGAAGCCGUGAAGCGAGCCACCUGGGAAGUACGGCCGCAAGGCUGAAACUUAAAGGAAUUGGCGGGGGAGCACAACAACGGGUGGAGCCUGCGGUUUAAUUGGACUCAACGCCGGACAACUCACCGGGAACGACAGCAAUAUGUAGGCCAGGCUGAAGACCUUGCCUGAAUCGCUGAGAGGUGCAUG
rnacentral:rRNA from 1 species